GACGAACGCUGGCGGCGUGCUUAACACAUGCAAGUCGAGCGGUAAGGCCCUUUCGGGGGUACGACGAGCGGCGAACGGGUGAGUAACACGUGGGUGACCUGCCCUCAGCUCUGGGAUAAGCCUGGGAAACCGGGUCUAAUACUGGAUAUGACUCCAUGACGCAUGUUGUGGGGUGGAAAGCCUUGUGCGGCUGAGGAUGGGCCCGCGGCCUAUCAGCUUGUUGGUGGGGUGAGGCCUACCAAGGCGACGACGGGUAGCCGCCUGAGAGGGCGACCGGCCACACUGGGACUGAGACACGGCCCAGACUCCUACGGGAGGCAGCAGUGGGGAAUCUUGCGCAAUGGGCGAAAGCCUGACGCAGCGACGCCGCGUGAGGGA
rnacentral:rRNA from 1 species